AAGAACCCCGGGAGGGGAGUGAAAUAGAACCUGAAACCGUGUGCAUACAAACAGUGGGAGCCCCCUCGUGGGGUGACUGCGUACCUUUUGUAUAAUGGGUCAGCGACUUACGUUCAGUAGCGAGCUUAACCGAGUAGGGGAGGCGUAGGGAAACCGAGUCCGAAUAGGGCGCAUAGUUGCUGGGCGUAGACCCGAAACCAAGUGAUCUAUCCAUGGCCAGGUUGAAGGUGCGGUAACACGCACUGGAGGACCGAACCCACUAGUGUUGCAAAAUUAGGGGAUGAGCUGUGGAUAGGGGUGAAAGGCUAAACAAACUUGGAAAUAGCUGGUUCUCUCCGAAAACUAUUUAGGUAGUGCCUCAUGUAUCACUCUCGGGGGUAGAGCACUGUCAUGGCUAGGGGGUCAUCGCGACUUACCAAACCAUAGCAAACUCCGAAUACCGAGAAGUGCAAUCAUGGGAGACAGACAUCGGGUGCUAACGUCCGGUGUCAAGAGGGAAACAACCCAGACCGCCAGCUAAGGUCCCAAAUGACGUGCUAAGUGGAAAACGAAGUGGGAAGGCCCAGACAGCCAGGAUGUUGGCUUAGAAGCAGCCAUCAUUUAAAGAAAGCGUAAUAGCUCACUGGUCGAGUCGUCCUGCGCGGAAGAUGUAACGGGGCUAAGCACGUAACCGAAGCUGCGGAUUCACAGUUUACUGUGAGUGGUAGGAGAGCGUUCUGUAAGCCUGCGAAGGUGUCUUGUAAAGGAUGCUGGAGGUAUCAGAAGUGCGAAUGCUGACAUGAGUAGCGUUAAAGGGGGUGAAAAGCCCCCUCGCCGUAAGCGCAAGGUUUCCUACGCAACGUUCAUCGGCGUAGGGUGAGUCGGCCCCUAAGGCGAGGCAGAAAUGCGUAGUCGAUGGGAAACAGGUUAAUAUUCCUGUACCGAUUUGGAAUGCGAUGGGGGGACGGAGAAGGGUAGGUCAGCCAACUGUUGGAAUAGUUGGUUUAAGCGUGUAGGCGUGCUCUAUAGGCAAAUCCGUAGAGCUGAGCUGAGGCGUGAUGACGAGGUGCCACGUGCACUGAAGUGAUUGAUCCCAUGCUUCCAGGAAAAGCCUCUAAGCUUCAGUUCCAAAUUGACCGUACUGCAAACCGACACAGGUGGGUAGGGUGAGAAUCCUAAGGCGCUUGAGAGAACUCAGGAGAAGGAACUCGGCAAAUUGACACCGUAACUUCGGGAGAAGGUGUGCCCUUGUAGGGUGAAGUCCCUUGCGGAUGGAGCUCGAAAGGGUUGCAGUGAAAAGGUGGCUGCGACUGUUUAUUAAAAACACAGCACUCUGCAAACACGAAAGUGGACGUAUAGGGUGUGACGCCUGCCCGGUGCUGGAAGAUUAAAUGAUGGGGUGCAAGCUCUUGACUGAAGUCCCAGUAAACGGCGGCCGUAACUAUAACGGUCCUAAGGUAGCGAAAUUCCUUGUCGGGUAAGUUCCGACCCGCACGAAUGGCGUAACGAUGGCCACACUGUCUCCUCCUGAGACUCAGCGAAGUUGAAAUGUUUGUGAAGAUGCAAUCUCCCCGCUGCUAGACGGAAAGACCCCGUGAACCUUUACUGUAGCUUUGCAUUGGACUUUGAACAGACUUGUGUAGGAUAGGUGGGAGGCUUUGAAGUGGGAACGCCAGUUCUCAUGGAGCCGUCCUUGAAAUACCACCCUGGUGUGUUUGAGGUUCUAACCUGGGUCCGUAAUCCGGAUCGGGGACCGUGCAUGGUAGGCAGUUUGACUGGGGCGGUCUCCUCCCAAAGUGUAACGGAGGAGUUCGAAGGUCUCCUAGGUACGGUCGGACAUCGUACUGAUAGUGCAAUGGCAAAAGGAGGCUUAACUGCGAGACCGACAAGUCGAGCAGGUGCGAAAGCAGGACAUAGUGAUCCGGUGGUUCUGUAUGGAAGGGCCAUCGCUCAACGGAUAAAAGGUACUCCGGGGAUAACAGGCUGAUACCGCCCAAGAGUUCAUAUCGACGGCGGUGUUUGGCACCUCGAUGUCGGCUCAUCACAUCCUGGGGCUGUAGCCGGUCCCAAGG
rnacentral:rRNA from 1 species